rnacentral:rRNA from 1 species
GGAAGGUGGGGAUGACGUCAAGUCCGCAUGCUCCUUACGCUAGGGCUACACACGUCCUACAAUGGGGUCGACAGUGGGAUGCAAAGCCGCGAGGUGGAGCCAAUCCCCCAAACGGCCUCUCAGUUCGGAUAGUAGUCUGCAACUCGACUACUUGAAGUCGGAAUCGCUAGUAAUGGCGGAUCAGCAUGCCGCCGUGAAUACGUUCCCGGGUCUU